rnacentral:rRNA from 1 species
AAGCUCGUAGUUGAAUUUCGGGAUUAAUUUAUUGGUCGUGCAAUCGUACGUACUGGUAUUAUUGAUUCCUACCUUCUGACGAACCAUGAUGUCAUUAAUUUGGUGUCAUGGGGAAUCAGGACUGUUACUUUGAAAAAAUUAGAGUGUUUAAAGCAGGCUCACGCUUGAAUACAUUAGCAUGGAAUAACGAAAUAGGACGUUUGAUUCUAUUUUGUUGGUUUCUAGGAUCGACGUAAUGAUUAAUAGGGAUAGUUGGG